rnacentral:rRNA from 1 species
UACGAAGGGGGGCUAGCGUUGCUCGGAAUCACUGGGCUUAAAGGGCGCGUAGGCGGGUUCCCAAGUCGGUGGUGAAAUCUUUCGGCCCAACCGGAAAACAGCCGCCGAUACUGGGAGUCUUGAGGGAGGUAGGGGUCGAUGGAACUUCCGGUGGAGCGGUGAAAUGCGUAGAUAUCGGAAGGAACGCCGGUGGCGAAAGCGAUCGACUGGACCUUUUCUGACGCUGAGGCGCGAAAGCCAGGGGAGCAAACGGG